GACGAACGCUGGCGGCGUGCUUAACACAUGCCAGUCGAACGGAAAGGCCCUGCUUUUUUGUGGUGCCCGAGUGGCGAACGUGUGUGUAACACGUGAGUAUCCUUCCUUUUACUUUGGGAUAACUUCAGGCAACUGGUGCUAAUACCUGAUAGGAGCUCCUGCUGCAUGGUGGUGUUUGGAAAGUUUAGGCUGUUGUGGAUGUACUCGGGGCUUAACAGCUUGUUGGUGGGGUAGUGGCUUACCAAGGGUUCGGCGGGUAGCCGGCAUGGGAGGGUGAACGGCGACAUUGGGACUAAGGGAGGGAGCAGACGCGUACGGGAGGCAGCGGGGGAGAGUAUUGCACAAUGAGCGGAAGCCUGAUGCAAAGACGCCGGGUGCGGGAAGAAGGCCUACGGGUUGGAAACCGCAUUAGCCUAUGACGAAGCGUGAGUGACGGUAAUGGGUGAAGAAGCACCGGCUAACUACGUG
rnacentral:rRNA from 1 species